rnacentral:rRNA from 1 species
GGCAUGCAAGUCGCGCGAGAAAGGGCAUUUCGGUGCCUGAGUAAAGCGGCGUAAGGGUGAGCAAUACAUGGAUGACCUACCCUUGAGAGGGGGACAACGUCUGGAAACGGACGCUAAUACCCCGUAAGACCACGGGUUCUCGAACCUGGGGUUAAAGGUGGCCUCUGCUUGCAAGCUACCGCUCAGGGAGGGGUUCAUGUCCUAUUAGCUAGUUGGUGGGGUAAUGGCCCACCAAGGCUUCGAUGGGUAGCCGGGCUGAGAGGUUGUUCGGCCACACUGGGACUGAGACACUGCCCAGACUCCUCCGGGAGGCUGCAGUCGAGAAUCUUUCGCAAUGCGCGCAAGCGUGACGGAGCGACGCCGCGUGGAUGAUGAAGGCCUUCGGGUUGUAAAAUCCAAUCGCGGGGGAAGAAACAGGGGAGAAUAAUACUCUGCUCCUGUGACGUUACCCCGGUCGAAGCGCCGGCUAAUCACGUGCCAGCAGCCGCGGUAAUACGUGAGGCGCAAGCGUUGUUCGGUGUCACUGGGCAUAAAGGGCGCGUAGGCGGUGCCGAAAGUCGGUUGUGAAAGCCCCCGGCUCAACCGGGGAAUUGCGUCCGAAACUUCGGUGCUGGAGUAAGGUAGGGGGGAGCGGAAUUCCUGGUGGAGCGGUGAAAUGCGUAGAUAUCAGGAGGAACGCCGGUGGCGAAGGCGGCUCCCUGGACCUUAACUGACGCUGAGUGCGCGAAAGCUAGGGGAGCAAACAGGAUUAGAUACCCUGGUAGUCCUAGCUGUAAACGAU